rnacentral:lncRNA from 1 species
UGGGCUGCCAGCUCUCAAGUAUCACCUGAAUUAUCAUCAGAGCCACUGGAAGUGAGCUGGAGGACAGUCACCAUGCAGCCACUAAGCACCCCUACUGUGGUGGCCACACCGUGCUGCCUUGAAUGGAAUGCCUCAUCUCUGGUGGUUGAAGUUCUGGUCACAGAACACAUCAAAUCAAACUCAAGUGCUGAGGAAAGUCACAACUUAGAGGGGGAAAAAUCCAGGAGAGACUUUUUGCAGAUGGAUGGAUAAGAAAGGGUAAGUUUCACUCUUGUGGACUGCAGCCUAGGCUGUCUGAAAUAACCAGUUAAUAACGUUAAUAAUAAAUCACAAGAUAACUCUGAAAACA